CACCGCGGUUAUACGAGAGGCCCAAAUUGAUACCCGUUGGCGUAAAGCGUGGUUAGGUUUAAACUUACACUAAAGCCAAAUAUCUUCAAGACUGUUAUACGUGCACGAAGACAAGAAGUUCAACUACGAAAGUGGCUUUAUUUAUUCUGAACCCACGAAAGCUAAGAUA
rnacentral:rRNA from 1 species